rnacentral:lncRNA from 1 species
AAAUACGUGAUAGGAGGGUGGAGUCCCGUACAAGGGGAGAGGAAGAACUGGCGGUGCCACUGCAAGCAGCGGUUACAGCAGUCAGCCCAACAGUUGAGACCGUGCACAGAUGCAUGCAAGGAGACUGUGGAAAGAGCAGGAUCUCCUUUCCUUUCCAGAAGGGCACUUAGAUGGAUGAAAGGAGAAUUGCAUACUCUCAGAUUUCAAUCCACUGGUGUUGAAGAAUAGAGAAGCCUACAGAUUCUGAUGAUGGUCCUUCUGGUUGUGCUAUGUGGGAUGCCACCUCAGCAUGGCCUGAUGAGUUGUGCUACGUCUGUGCCGAGGAUCCAAACCAGCGAAACCUUGGGCCACUGAAGUGGAGCAUGCAAACUUAAGCACUUGGCCACAGGGAUUCCAAGUGUAAAGAGAAGCAGAAGCCAAUGGCACUGAAUCAACUGGAACUCCCAAUAGCAGAAUAUGAGAGUUGCCGUUUCUCUACAUCCUUGCCAACACCGACUAUUGGCAAUGGUGUAACUCUAGCCAUUACGGGCCGGCCUGAUGGCCAAGUGGUUAAGUUCAUGCGCUCUGCUUCGGCAGCCCAGUGUUUUGCCAGUUGGGAUCCUAGGUGCGGACAUGGCACCACUCAUCAAGCCAUGCUGAGGUGGUGUCCCACAUGGCACAACCAGAAGGACCUACCACUAGAAUAUACAACUGUGUACUGGGGAUCUUUGGAGAGAAGAGGAAGGAAAAAAAAGAAAGAAUAUUGGCAGCAGAUGUUAGCUC